UACGGAGGAUGCGAGCGUUAUCCGGAUUUAUUGGGUUUAAAGGGUGCGUAGGCGGACGCUUAAGUCAGCGGUAAAAUUGCGGGGCUCAACCUCGUCGAGCCGUUGAAACUGGGUGCCUUGAGUGGGCGAGAAGUACGCGGAAUGCGUGGUGUAGCGGUGAAAUGCAUAGAUAUCACGCAGAACUCCGAUUGCGAAGGCAGCGUACCGGCGCCCAACUGACGCUGGAGCACGAAGGCGUGGGUAUCGAACAGG
rnacentral:rRNA from 1 species